UACGGAGGGAGCUAGCGUUGUUCGGAAUUACUGGGCGUAAAGCGCACGUAGGCGGCUUUGUAAGUUAGAGGUGAAAGCCCGGGGCUCAACUCCGGAACUGCCUUUAAAACUGCAUCGCUUGAAUCCAGGAGAGGUGAGUGGAAUUCCGAGUGUAGAGGUGAAAUUCGUAGAUAUUCGGAGGAACACCAGUGGCGAAGGCGGCUCACUGGACUGGUAUUGACGCUGAGGUGCGAAAGCGUGGGGAGCAAACAGG
rnacentral:rRNA from 1 species